CCGUACUGAAAAUGGCCCGGCGCCGGUCCGUGGCUUCGGGUCAGAUAACUGGGCCCACAUAAAGGCGGGGCGUAAAGCUGAUUGGCCGCCUGCCUGUGGUGGCGCCAUGAAACCCACGCCCCCACAUGA
rfam:Xiphophorus maculatus strain JP 163 A Contig1652.4, whole genome shotgun sequence.